UUGACCUCGGAUCAGGUAGGACUACCCGCUGAACUUAAGCAUAUCAAUAAGCGGAGGAAAAGAAACCAACAGGGAUUGCCCCAGUAACGGCGAGUGAAGCGGCAACAGCUCAGAUUUGGAAUCUGGUCCCCAGGGCCCGAGUUGUAAUCUGGAGAGGAUGCUUCUGGCGCGGCGCCUUCCGAGUUCCCUGGAACGGGACGCCGGAGAGGGUGAGAGCCCCGUACGGUUGGACGCCUAGCCUUUGUGAAGCUCCUUCGACGAGUCGAGUAGUUUGGGAAUGCUGCUCAAAAUGGGAGGUAAAUUUCUUCUAAAGCUAAAUACCGGCCAGAGACCGAUAGCGCACAAGUAGAGUGAUCGAAAGAUGAAAAGCACUUUGAAAAGAGGGUCAAACAGUACGUGAAAUUGUUGAAAGGGAAGCGCCCGUGGCCAGACUUGUGCCCCGCGGACCACCCGGCGCCCUCAGCGCCGGUGCACUCCGCGGGGCGCAGGCCAGCAUCGGUUUUCCCAGGGGGAUAAAGGCGGCGGGAACGUGGCUCCCUCGGGAGUGUUAUAGCCCGCCGCGCCAUGCCCCUGGGGGGACCGAGGACCGCGCUUCGGCAAGGAUGC
rnacentral:rRNA from 1 species